rnacentral:misc_RNA from 1 species
CUACUUGUCCUCUCUGCAAGUACAACAUUCUCAAAGGAAACGAACAAGUAUGAUGAAUAGGAUUACAGAAACCCACCGACAUCUGGGUUCAUCCACAUGCUUCUUGUUCAUCUUUCUGUACAGAAGAGACUGGGGCAAAAGGAAAGAAACUUCUCCAAAUUCUUGUGAAAAUUACAAUAUAUGGCAUAGUCAAUAGAGCUGCAUUUGUCUUUUCCGGCCUUUUGAGAUGUCUUGAUUCUUCCUUUUUAUUUAGUUGUUUGAGCUGAGACACUGCAGAAAAAAGAAAAAAAAUAGUCACAUUUUGUAGGCUUUCUGCUUUUGGGUGAUGAAUUGUUUUGUAGUUAUACAUUUGUUUCUAUAUCACCUGCUAAGUAUGUAAAUGACUUUUUUUUUUUUUGUACAAUGCUGUUACAG